AAUCAACGCUGGCGGCGCGCUUAACACAUGCAAGUCGCACGAGAAAGGGAGCAAUCCUGAGUAAAGUGGCGUACGGGUGAGUAACACGUGGGAAUCUACCUCUUGGCGGGGAAUAACCCUGGGAAACCGGGGCUAAUACCGCAUAAGCUCGUGAGAGGAAAGCAGCAAUGCACCGAGAGAGGAGCCCGCGGCCGAUUAGCUAGUUGGUGGGGUAAUGGCUCACCAAGGCGAAGAUCGGUAGCCGGCCUGAGAGGGCACACGGCCACACUGGCACUGAAACAGGCGCAAGCCACCGCGGGGAGGCCGGGGUGAGGAGUCGUCCACAGGGGGGGAACACACGAGGAGGCGGCGGUGCGUGAGCGAGGAGGUCGGUCGGUGUGUAAAGGUCGUCCAAGAGGAAAGAUAAUGACGGCAUCGGAAGAAGAAGCUGCGGCGACCCACGUGCCAGUGGCGGUGCGAAUAGACUGAAACACCACUGGCCUCACC
rnacentral:rRNA from 1 species